rnacentral:rRNA from 1 species
UACGUAGGGGGCAAGCGUUGUCCGGAUUUAUUGGGCGUAAAGAGCGUGUAGGCGGUCUGGUAGGUCCGUUGUGAAAACUCGGGGCUCAACCCCGAGACGUCGGUUGAAACCAUCUGGCUAGAGUCCGGAAGAGGAGUGUGGAAUUCCCGGUGUAGCGGUGAAAUGCGCAGAUAUCGGGAAGAACACCCGUGGCGAAGGCGGCACUCUGGGACGGUACUGACGCUGAGACGCGAAAGCGUGGGGAGCGAACAGG